AAAGCGUCACCGCGCACGCCGGGGGCGGGGCGUGUCUCCUCCCUUACCUUGGGUUCUCUCGGCUCUGCAACCGCUGUUUCCCGGAGCCCGGCCUCUUCUCUUGGCAUCCGCCAGGCCUAGCCAGGGUCUGAACGCGGGGAGGGCGGGUCGGGCCGAGCCCCGGGGCCCAAGGUGCGGAGGAUAGUAUUCCGGGGGCAGCGAAGUCCGGCGGAACCUGCUCCUGGGACUAUCUCGGGAAUAAUGAACUGGAGGAAGUCCGUGUGAACUGGAACAACCUCCAGGAAGUGAUGCAGAGCGAAAGGAGCAGAACCAGGAGAACAUUGUACACAGAGACUGAUACACUGUGAUACAACUGAAUGUAAUGGACUUCUCUAGUAGCAGCAAUGCAAUGACCCAGGACAGUACAGAGGAACUUAGGAGAAAGAAUGCUGUCCACAUCCAGAGAAAGAACUGUGGGAGCAGAAAUGCAGAAGAAAAACAUAUGAUCAAUCAUGUAGUUCAAUAUGGAUAUGAUCUAGCCUUCAAUCCACUGAGCCACCUAGCUGCCCUGUUGGAUUUGAAUUUUUAAAUCUUCCUCACACCAAAUCUAGCACUCUGCUUGAUUAUCCACCUUAUUUUUCCAACUCAAAUCUAAAUAAUUUUUUCAAAACAUGAAAUGUUCCCUGGGACUGAAUAUUUACUACCAAUGGAAAUAUUAAGGAGUGGGCUCCAGCCUGUGAAUGCCAAUCCAAAAAAGGAGUUCCAAAAAUGUUUUGAGCAAUAACAGCAUUGUAGAAGUCAGUAUAUUGCCCUUGACGUGACCAUUUAAGGGGCAACUUAUUUGAUUAGUAUAAGUAAUUUGAUGAAUAUACUUAAUAUACUUCUUUAACCACAGAGUACACCCUCUCAACUCAGCCUCUCAAUCUUUUAUCAUUCUUCAAGACUUUGCUUAGGUGUCAAGGAUUCAGGAAACUUUCCUCAAUUCCUUUAGGGAUUAGUUCCCACUCCUUCCUCAAGUUACCUUGUCUGUUCUUCUGUUGCAUUCCCAUUAGAAUUUAUAUAACCUGUAGCCCUGGGUUCACAUGAACAGGAUCUGUUCCUGAGAUCAACCCUCAAAAGUGUGAGAGAAAUUGAGGGGAUUAGGACAGCAAGUGAUUGAUUGUAGGAAUUAUGUAUAUUAUACUGAAUUCAUCUUGUGAUUCCAUUCUGGAGCUAGCUUUGUUCCUUUUCUAUUCAAUUAUGGGUCUAGCCCAAAUUCUUUCUUGUGGGAACACUAUUCAAUUGUGGGAAAUUGGAGAAAAUCUCACUGCAUUGUUUGAACCUAAUCCUGUGUGGCUGGGAAACUGGACCAUCUGUGUCUGUGAGACCCUUAAGCAAGGACCUAGACUAUGUUGACUUUAAACACAAUCAUGCAAAGAUGGAUAAAAGGAGUUUUCUCAUAAUAACAUAUAUCAAGGAACCUAUAUGUCUUAUCUGAAAAGUGGCCCCAUACUAAUCAAUCAGCUAUUAUUUCCAUCUUCCUUUGACUGUUUACAGAUAAUUGGGAAGGAGCGGGAUACCUUUUUCUUGAAUUCAAGGAAUUGUACCUGUUCACUCUCUCCCUCAUAACUUGGAAAGGCCCUACUCUUUCCUCCAAAUGGAAAUCAGAUUAUCUAAUGUUAUAUUGUUGCCUUUUAAUCAAUUACUUUUUUUUUUAAUAAAAAAUCCUCACCUUCCAUCUUGGAAUCAAUAUUGUGUAUUGGUUCUAAGGCAGAAGAGUGGUAAGGGCUACACAAUGGGGGUUAAGUGACUUGCCCAGGGUCACACAGCUGGGAAGUGUCUGAGGCCAGAUUUGAACCACGGACCUCCCAUCUGUAGGUCUAUAGGUCAAUCCAUUGAGCUACCCAACUGCCCCCCAAUUAGUCAUUUUUGAUAGUCUUUAAUGUAUAAAAGUCUGCCCCUGCUGAGGAAGGAGCCUGGAUCCAGAUUCAUUGGGCAGCUGGCAUGCAUGGCUUAAUACAACUGAUAUACUCAGAAGAUUAAACCUAUGUAUAUCCUCAUUUCAUAUUUUACUUAUUACAAAAGUCAGAGUCUCCCUCUUUUUGGCUCAAUAUCCCCCAAACUGGAGUUAAUCCAGAAAAAUCUCCCAUUAUAGUUUAGGUUUAUACUUCAUGUCUAAGUUUUCCCAAAUAAGAAUAGCAGGGUUCCUAACUUCUAAGUGUAUGUAUACAUGCAAUUUAAUAAGUGCAUUUUCAGUAGUGCAGCCUUAAUAUUACUCCACAGAAAAUACAGGUGAUACAAAGGACUCUUCACAUAAAGCCUAGUAAUCCCAACUAAUUUAUCUUUAGCCUUACAGAUAAUCCCUGAGGGCCUAAACUCCAUUUUAUCCUCUCCAGGGGUUUCUUAGAACUAAGUCACAACACUCCUUCCCAAUGGACGGAUCCACAGUCUAAAUAAUUCAUAGGAAUAGCUAAGCUUCAGGUCAACAUCUGUACCACUCCUAUGACUAGUCUGUUAACAGGGGCCACAUGAACAUUUCUCUUCUUUAAGACUAGGUGCUGUUCAGGAAUGAUGUGGGUGAUCAUUUUCUUUCCCUAGAAGGUCUGAUCCCUUAACUUUCAAACUUGGAGAUACCAACAAGGCAACUCCUAAGACAUCUCUUUCUCUGAUUAGAGACUUCGUCUCUAAUAUGCCUGGGAAGGCACUAUUUGGGCCACCCAGGUGAGCAUCUAUCUACCUCUGCCAUGUGCUCCUAUUCAGCUGAUACCAUUUUUUGGACCAAGAAAAGUCCAUUUUAGGAACUCUAGGAUCUGACUUCUGUUUAGAAAGCUUUAGGAUGAACAGAUGUAACUCCCUCGUGCUCAUGCUCCAAGGAAGCCAUUACUAGUUCCUAGGACAGUGGUGGGCAACCUUUUGAGCUUGGUGUGUCAUAAUUCCCCAAAAAACCGAGCAUAACUUGGAUGGUGUGUCACUUUGAGAAAAAAUAAUAAUUUCACAAUAUUUAUAGUUUAAAUAACAAAAAUGUAUAAUUACAACUAUAUUUAAUAAACCAAAGGCUAAUUAUUUAA